AGCGAACGCUGGCGGCAGGCCUAACACAUGCAAGUCGAACGAAGUCUUCGGACUUAGUGGCGGACGGGUGAGUAACACGUGGGAACGUGCCUUUAGGUUCGGAAUAACUCAGGGAAACUUGUGCUAAUACCGAAUGUGCCCUUCGGGGGAAAGAUUUAUCGCCUUUAGAGCGGCCCGCGUCUGAUUAGCUAGUUGGUGAGGUAAUGGCUAACCAAGGCUACGAUCAGUAGCUGGUCUGAGAGGAUGACCAGCCACAUUGGGACUGAGACACGGCCCAAACUCCUACGGGAGGCAGCAGUGGGGAAUCUUGCGCAAUGGGCGAAAGCCUGACGCAGCCAUGCCGCGUGGAUGAUGAAGGUCUUAGGAUUGUAAAAUCCUUUCACCGUUGAAGAUAAUGACUGUAGCCGGAGAAGAAGCCCCGGCUAACUUCGUGCCAGCAGCCGCCGUAAAAC
rnacentral:rRNA from 1 species